rnacentral:rRNA from 1 species
GAUGAACGCUGGCGGCGUGCCUAAUACAUGCAAGUCGAGCGAACGGACGAGAAGCUUGCUUCUCUGAUGUUAGCGGCGGACGGGUGAGUAACACGUGGAUAACCUACCUAUAAGACUGGGAUAACUUCGGGAAACCGGAGCUAAUACCGGAUAAUAUUUUGAACCGCAUGGUUCAAACGUGAAAGACGGUCUUGCUGUCACUUAUAGAUGGAUCCGCGCUGCAUUAGCUAGUUGGUAAGGUAACGGCUUACCAAGGCAACGAUGCAUAGCCGACCUGAGAGGGUGAUCGGCCACACUGGAACUGAGACACGGUCCAGACUCCUACGGGAGGCAGCAGGAGGGAAUCUUCCGCAAUGGGCGAAAGCCUGACGGAGCAACGCCGCGUGAGUGAUGAAGGUCUUCGGAUCGUAAAACUCUGUUAUUAGGGAAGAACAUAUGUGUAAGUAACUGUGCACAUCUUGACGGUACCUAAUCAGAAAGCCACGGCUAACUACGUG